rnacentral:rRNA from 1 species
UGGGGAAUCUUAGACAAUGGGGGCAACCCUGAUCUAGCCAUGCCGCGUGAGUGAUGAAGGCCUUAGGGUCGUAAAGCUCUUUCGCCUGUGAAGAUAAUGACGGUAGCAGGUAAAGAAACCCCGGCUAACUCCGUGCCAGCAGCCGCGGUAAUACGGAGGGGGUUAGCGUUGUUCGGAAUUACUGGGCGUAAAGCGCGCGUAGGCGGACUAUUAAGUCAGAGGUGAAAUCCCGGGGCUCAACCCCGGAACUGCCUUUGAUACUGGUAGUCUUGAGUUCGAGAGAGGUAAGUGGAAUUCCGAGUGUAGAGGUGAAAUUCGUAGAUAUUCGGAGGAACACCAGUGGCGAAGGCGGCUUACUGGCUCGAUACUGACGCUGAGGUGCGAAAGUGUGGGGAGCAAACAGG